rnacentral:tRNA from 1 species
CCGACCUUAGCUCAGUUGGUAAAGCGGAGGUCUGUAGUUUGAUUAAUCUAAGUUUGUAAAUCCUUAGGUCGCUGGUUUGAAUCCGGCAGGUCAGA